rnacentral:rRNA from 1 species
UACGUAGGGGGCAAGCGUUGUCCGGAAUUAUUGGGCGUAAAGAGCGUGUAGGCGGUCCGGUAAGUCCGCUGUGAAAGUCCAGGGCUCAACCCUGGAAUGCCGGUGGAUACUGCCGGGCUAGAGUCCGGAAGAGGCGAGUGGAAUUCCUGGUGUAGCGGUGAAAUGCGCAGAUAUCAGGAGGAACACCGAUGGCGAAGGCAGCUCGCUGGGACGUUACUGACGCUGAGACGCGAAAGCGUGGGGAGCAAACAGG